CCUGGCUCAGAGCGAACGUUAGCGGCGGGCUUAACACAUGCAAGUCGAGCGAGAAAGUGGCUUCGCCAUCAGUAAAGCGGCGGACGGGUGAGUAACACGUAGUAAUCUUCCCUUGAGCGGGGGACAACGGUCCGAAAGGACCGCUAAUACCGCAUACGUUUUCAGCGGCUCUGGUCGCUGAAAGGAAAGCUAGGCAGCAAUGUCCGGCACUCGAGGAGGAGCCUGCGUCGCAUCAGCUAGUUGGUGGGGUAACGGCCUACCAAGGCGAAGACGCGUAGCUGGUCUGAGAGGAUGAUCAGCCACACUGGGACUGAGACACGGCCCAGACUCCUACGGGAGGCAGCAGUGGGGAAUAUUGGACAAUGGGCGAAAGCCUGAUCCAGCCACGCCGCGUGAGUGAUGAAGGCCUUCGGGUCGUAAAGCUCUGUGGGGAGGGACGAACCGCUGCUGGUUCAUAGCCAGCAGCAUGACGGUACCUCCUUAGCAAGCACCGGCUAACUUCGUGCCAGCAGCCGCGGUAA
rnacentral:rRNA from 1 species